GAAGAUCUCACCGUCUCACAUAAGGGUAUAAACCAGAGUGAUUGUGAUAAUGAUGUUAAAGAAGAGAUAAAAGAAGAGGAGAAGGUUGGUGUGAUGGAGGAGUUUUCAGAAGGACACAAAGACCCUUUCAAGGAUAUGAUCAUGGAGCCAUUCAGUGACAUAAACUCACCAGAGAGAUGUCCCCGUCCUCUGUAUUCCCGGGAUUCCACACAGUAAGAUCUCACCAUCCCCCACCAUGAUCAGGGUGAAGAACGGAUCAAUAUAAAAGCUGUGAUUAAAGAGGAAGAAGUGGAGACGUAUGUGGGGGGUGACCGGCCGCCCACGGA